rnacentral:rRNA from 1 species
ACGGACUCCUACGGGAGGCAGCAGUAGGGAAUAUUGCACAAUGGGGGAAACCCUGAUGCAGCCAUGCCGCGUGUGUGAAGAAGGCCUUUGGGUUGUAAAGCACUUUCAGUAUGGAGGAAGUGUAGUAUGUUAACAGCAUGCUGCAUGGACGUUACAUACAGAAGAAGCACCGGCUAACUCCGUUCCAGCAGCCGCGGAAAUAAU